UUUUGAGUAUCGAGGAUUUGAUUUUGACUCCGACCGACUCGGUUUCAUACUUUCAUACAAUCAAGACCUAAGUCUAAUCCAACUCUUCAAUUCUUAGCAAAGAAAGUGAAAAAUUUGUGAAAAUGAUGCGAACGAGGUUUUUGUGGUUUGGUGUAGGUUUCGCCUCUGCUUCUGGAGCUAUUGCACAGUUUGUGGUUAAGGAUUUGUGGACGGACCGCACCUCCCUUUUUGAUCAGUUGACAGAAAAGUUCAAUUCGUUGGAUACGCGAGUGUCUAAUUUGGAGUCUGUGAUCUCCAAAAAACCUACUUCCCCUCAGGAUGAAGGGAAUCUUGAAUGAAGCUUCUGGUUUCUUGCAGCAUGAUCAUACUCAUGUUCUAGUUUCUACCGUUCCUUUUGAAGAUUGAACGAGCAAUAAAUACGCAUUUACAUUACUUUUUUCAUCAGGAAGAUCUUUUUGUAUGACUAACAUUUUGAUAUCUACUCAUAGUCGUAUUCACUUUGUCACAUACAUUGCGCUCUCGAUGUCAUUUACUUUGUUAUACUUUGAUAUAAACUCACUAACUUGUGCUUUGUGAGUUUGAUUAUGGCAUCAUUAAUUCCUCUCCCUUGUUGCAGUAGCAUGGAUGGCCUGUUAAUAAAGUAAUUAAAUACCACUAUAAUGUUGUUUGGGAAUUUUGUACAACAUCUGAACUAUGCUACAUGAGAAUGAUUUUUGUCCAUCGAGUGGCCUGUACAAAUUAAUUUAACUAUUUUGACUGAAAUUGCUAUAUUAUUUCAAAAGUCCAGCUAUGUGCUGCAGAGUAAGUGCAAACUUUUCCAUCUCCGAGACACUGCCAUUCACAUGUUUGAAUAGUUGUAUUCCAUCGGCUGGCCAUACAAGGAGUUUGCCAGAGGCUAUUCUGCUAUUGUAUGAGCAGGCCGCAUAGGAGCCAUAUUCGUGCAACAACAUGCCCAGCAACGCUCAUAUGUGUACUCCCUGCUGUGGUCAUGUUUGAUCCUGUUAAAAUUCGCCAUGAAAAAGAGGUUAAAAGCUUCCAAAGUAGAGAAUCAAAGGAAGAGAUUAAUCACCUGCUUCAGAACUGGCAACUCUUAUGCACUUCAAGGCAAGCAUCCUAUGAAUGACAUGCUUUGCGAUCCUUGUUCCACCAAAGGUUCCCAAUGUUAUUAAAAAACGGCUAUGGCGAUGCUGUUGCGCCAUUGCACGG